AACGAACGCUGGCGGCAGGCCUAACACAUGCAAGUCGAACGCCCCGCAAGGGGAGUGGCAGACGGGUGAGUAACACGUGGGAACGUACCCCAAGGUUCGGAACAACAGCGGGAAACUGCUGCUAAUACCGGAUGUGACCGAGAGGUGAAAGAUUUAUCGCCUUGGGAUCGGCCCGCGUUAGAUUAGCUAGUCGGUGGGGUAAUGGCCUACCAAGGCUACGAUCUAUAGCUGGUCUGAGAGGAUGAUCAGCCACACUGGGACUGAGACACGGCCCAGACUCCUACGGGAGGCAGCAGUGGGGAAUCUUGGACAAUGGGUGCAAGCCUGAUCCAGCCAUGCCGCGUGAAUGAUGAAGGCCUUAGGGUUGUAAAAUUCUUUCGUCGGGGACGAUAAUGACGGUACCCGAAGAAGAAGCCCCGGCUAACUUCGUGCCAGCCGCCGCCGUAA
rnacentral:rRNA from 1 species